GCCAAGAUAGCUCAGCUGGGAGAGCAUUAGACUGAAGAUCUAAAGGUCUCUGGUUCAAUCCCGGGUUUCGGCA
rnacentral:tRNA from 1 species